GACGAACGCUGGCGGCGUGCUUAACACAUGCAAGUCGAACGGAAAGGCCCUGCUUUUGUGGGGUGCUCGAGUGGCGAACGGGUGAGUAACACGUGAGUAACCUGCCCUUGACUUUGGGAAAACUUCAGGAAACUGGGGCUAAUACCGGAUAGGAGCUCCUGCUGCAUGGUGGGGGUUGGAAAGUUUCGGCGGUUGGGGAUGGACUCGCGGCUUAUCAGCUUGUUGGUGGGGUAGUGGCUUACCAAGGCUUUGACGGGUAGCCGGCCUGAGAGGGUGACCGGCCACAUUGGGGCUGAGAUACGGCCCAGACUCCUACGGGAGGCAGCAGUGGGGAAUAUUGCACAAUGGGCGGAAGCCUGAUGCAGCAACGCCGCGUGCGGGAUGACGGCCUUCGGGUUGUAAACCGCUUUCGCCUGUGACGAAGCGUGAGUGACGGUAAUGGGUAAAGAAGCACCGGCUAACUACGUG
rnacentral:rRNA from 1 species